rnacentral:other from 1 species
CACAAGCUGCAUUGUACGUAAGAUUGAUUAAGUUUUAACCUUUAAGCUGUAAUUAGGGAGUUUUACAUUGAAGCUAAAAUGACAAGCCUCUGUCUAUAAGACAUGGAGGACAUGCAGGAGAGCUUCUGCGAACACCCACUUUGAGGAGUGGUGGUUUAAAACUUUCUUAUAUUUUUGAUACGGCAAAGGCGGCUUCCUA